AGUGAACGCUGGCGGCAGGCCUAACACAUGCAAGUCGAACGGCAGCACAGUAAGAGCUUGCUCUUACGGGUGGCGAGUGGCGGACGGGUGAGGAAUACAUCGGAAUCUACUUUUUCGUGGGGGAUAACGUAGGGAAACUUACGAUAAUACCGCAUACAACCUACGGGAGAAAGCAGGGGAGCUUGGGAGCUUUGGCGACUCAAUGAGCCGAUGUCGGAUUAGCUAGUUGGGGGGGUAAAGGCCCACCAAGGCGACGAUCCGUAGCUGGUCUGAGAGGAUGAUCAGCCACACUGGAACUGAGACACGGUCCAGACUCCUACGGGAGGCAGCAGUAGGGAAUCUUGCGCAAUGGGCGCAAGCCUGACCCAGCCAUGCCGCGUGAGUGAAGAAGGCCUUCGGGUUGUAAAGCCCUGUUGUUAGGAAAGAAAAGCAGCAUGUUAAUACACCGAUGUUCUGACGGUACCUAAAGAGAAAGCACCGGCUAACUUCGUG
rnacentral:rRNA from 1 species